UGAAUUGCAGCGACCAACCAAACAAAAUAUUAGUUUAACUAGUCAUUACAGUAAACAACAUCAUACAAAAGACGCAUGAGUUGUUCAAAAUGUGAUUACACAAAGUGAGUGAAUCAGCAAUGGAAUUGGAGGACCUCUACUCCACAUGACGGAAAUAUAUCCAUAGGCACAAGUGAAAUCACAGGAAACAUUGUACUUGCUAGCCAGAGAGCAAAGCACUUCAUGAUUUGAGUGAGUACUGAAUUUGGAGUUUAUUGCAAAGGCAAGAUAACUCCACUCCUCAGCGCCAAGAAGGAUGAGACAGUGCUAAUUAGAAAUGGAGGAACGUUAUUAGAGGAAUCGAUCACCUUUAAUAAUUAAUGGCAGAGUUCCUAUCCGAUGCUUUUCUGUCCAAGAGCUUAACAAUGCAACAAAGUACUAUGAUCAAAAUCAAGUGUUUCUUCAACAUGAAUUCUACAGAUUGUAAGGAAGUAUGAACAUGAAGAAUACCCCAAGGAUUUCAGGGUAGCAGCAUUUCAUCGCCAAAAGCAACUAAAGGCAUGGAAAGCGCCACUCAUAAAACCAUUGAAAGCAUCAGAAACAAAGUUCAUCACCACCAAAUGCUGCUGUAUGGCACAUAAAAGUUGUUGCAUGAGCAAAAGAUUCCUUCUACCCAAAAGAAAAGAUACAAUUAUGGCCAUAGGACCUGCAAAGUCACCACAUCCAGAUGACACAUUAAUGACAUGAAAAGACCACCACUCCAGAUUUCCACGAUUGAGAACAAGAUCCCCACUAACCAGAUCUACCUGCAUAAACAUAAUGUCAAACUGCUGUUUUCAAUGGUAGCUGAUCAAUUGACACUGAUGGAUUACCUUGGUUGCCAGUAUUCAUAAACAUCAAGGCAAGAGAGGAAAGCAUAGGGGAAGGAAAACAACAUACCAAAUCUUCCAAAAAUCGAACUUCACCAGAUCCAGUAACCCGGAAGUAUCUUGGAAAAACAUUAUGUAUUCUGAAGCUAUUGGCACUACCAUUUAGCACUGCCAUUAUUUCUGAAUAUGUUGGAAGAUCCUCAUCUCGAACAAUCAAUUCAUAUCUCACAACUUCCUUUCCUUUGGGCCGAUCCCUGGUUAACUGCCAGGAAAAGAUGAUGUCCAUGCUCCAUCUGAGAGAAUUCAUGUAUCCAGCCUGGACUACAGGUGGAACAAGCCACAAUGUGCUACCGUCAGCUUGGCAGCAUAUUAAUUGAAUGUCUUUCUCAUCAUAAGCACGUAAAUAACCUCCAGGAUCCAUAUCAGUAUGUGAACCAAUUUCAUCCCAUGAGAUUUUUUCACACAAUGUUGUCUCAAAUAAUGUAAGCCGCCCACUAUUUGUUCGUAUAUCAAUCCGGAUGCUGGCUUCCUUAAUAGGGUUAGCAAUGUUUGUGGGGUUACCACUGCUGUACAUCUGUCCAGCAAAUUAAGAAUAUGAAUACAAUAUUAAUAUUCUUCAGAA